GACGAACGCUGGCGGCGUGCUUAACACAUGCAAGUCGAACGGAAAGGCCUCUUUCGGGGGGUACUCGAGUGGCGAACGGGUGAGUAACACGUGAGUAACCUGCCCUUGACUUUGGGAUAACUUCAGGAAACUGGGGCUAAUACCGGAUAGGAGCUCCUGCUGCAUGGUGGGGGUUGGAAAGUUUCGGCGGUUGGGGAUGGACUCGCGGCUUAUCAGCUUGUUGGUGGGGUAGUGGCUUACCAAGGCUUUGACGGGUAGCCGGCCUGAGAGGGUGACCGGCCACAUUGGGACUGAGAUACGGCCCAGACUCCUACGGGAGGCAGCAGUGGGGAAUAUUGCACAAUGGGUGGAAGCCUGAUGCAGCAACGCCGUGUGCGGGAGGACGGCCUUCGGGUUGUAAACCGCUUUCGCUCACGACGAAGCUUUGUGUGACGGUAGUGGGUAAAGAAGCACCGGCUAACUACGUG
rnacentral:rRNA from 1 species